GAGAGGAGUGGCUUGUGGG
rnacentral:misc_RNA from 1 species